AUCGCUUCUCAGCCUUUUGGCUAAGAUCAAGUGUAAAAUAUGGCAAAUUUUAACUUAAAAUCUUUAAUGAUCCUGAUUGUAGGUGAGACAAAUGAGACACAAUAUGGCUUUUAUCAGGAUACUCACUUGAGUAAAUGUAGCUACU
ensembl:snRNA U2 U2 spliceosomal RNA